rnacentral:rRNA from 1 species
UACAGAGGUGGCAAGCGUUGUUCGGAAUUACUGGGCGUAAAGGGCGCGUAGGCGGUCCGAUAAGUCCUGUGUGAAAUCCCUCGGCUCAACUGAGGAACUGCACGGGAGACUGCCGGGCUUGAGUUCGGGAGAGGGAAGCGGAAUUCCGGGUGUAGCGGUGAAAUGCGUAGAUAUCCGGAGGAACACCGGUGGCGAAGGCGGCUUCCUGGACCGACACUGACGCUGAGGCGCGAAAGCUAGGGGAGCAAACGGG